rnacentral:rRNA from 1 species
AAUGAACGCUGGCGGCAUGCCUAACACAUGCAAGUCGAACGAGACCACCGGGACUAGUGGCGCAUGGGGGCGUAACGCGUGGGAACCUUCCCUUAGGUAUGGAAUAACUCUCCGACAGGGGUGCUAACACCGGAUAAUGUCUUCUGACCAAAGAUAUAUCGACCUGGGAUGGUCCGGAGUUGGAUUAGCUAGUGGGGAGGGUAAAAGCCUACCAAGGCGUCGAUCCAUAGCUGGUUAGAGAGGAUGAUCAGCCACACUGGGACUGAGACACGGCCGAGACUCCUACGGGAAGGAGCAGUGGGGGAUAUUGGACAACGGGCGGAGGCAUGAUCGAGCACGGCCGCGUGAGUGAUGAAGGCCUUAGAGUUGUAAAGCUCUUUUACCCGGGAUGAUAAUGACGGUACCGGAAGAAUAAGCUCCGGCUAACUCCGUG